rnacentral:rRNA from 1 species
GAUGAACGCUGGCGGCGUGCCUAAUACAUGCAAGUCGAGCGAACAGACAAGGAGCUUGCUCCUUUGACGUUAGCGGCGGACGGGUGAGUAACACGUGGGUAACCUACCUAUAAGACUGGGAUAACUUCGGGAAACCGGAGCUAAUACCGGAUAAUAUUUCGAACCGCAUGGUUCGAUAGUGAAAGAUGGUUUUGCUAUCACUUAUAGAUGGACCCGCGCCGUAUUAGCUAGUUGGUAAGGUAACGGCUUACCAAGGCGACGAUACGUAGCCGACCUGAGAGGGUGAUCGGCCACACUGGAACUGAGACACGGUCCAGACUCCUACGGGAGGCAGCAGUAGGGAAUCUUCCGCAAUGGGCGAAAGCCUGACGGAGCAACGCCGCGUGAGUGAUGAAGGUCUUCGGAUCGUAAAACUCUGUUAUUAGGGAAGAACAUACGUGUAAGUAACUAUGCACGUCUUGACGGUACCUAAUCAGAAAGCCACGGCUAACUACGUGCCAGCAGCCGCGGUAAUACGUAGGUGGCAAGCGUUAUCCGGAAUUAUUGGGCGUAAAGCGCGCGUAGGCGGUUUUUUAAGUCUGAUGUGAAAGCCCACGGCUCAACCGUGGAGGGUCAUUGGAAACUGUAAAACUUGAGUGCAGAAGAAGGAAAGUGGAAUUCCAUGUGUAGCGGUGAAAUGCGCAUAAUAAUAUGGAGGAACACCAGGUGGCGAAGGCGACUUUCUGGUCUGUAACUGACGCUGAUGUGCAAAAGCGUGGGGAUCAAACAGGAUUAGAUACCCGUGGUAGUCCACGCCGUAAACGAUGAGUGCUAAGUGUAAGGGGGUUUCCGCCCCUUAGUGCUGCAGCUAACGCAUUAAGCACUCCGCCUGGGGAGUACGACCGCAAGGUUGAAACUCAAAGGAAUUGACGGGGACCCGCACAAGCGGUGGAGCAUGUGGUUUAAUUCGAAGCAACGCGAAGAACCUUACCAAAUCUUGACAUCCUUUGACAACUCUAGAGAUAGAGCCUUCCCCUUCGGGGGACAAAGUGACAGGUGGUGCAUGGUUGUCGUCAGCUCGUGUCGUGAGAUGUUGGGUUAAGUCCCGCAACGAGCGCAACCCUUAAGCUUAGUUGCCAUCAUUAAGUUGGGCACUCUAAGUUGACUGCCGGUGACAAACCGGAGGAAGGUGGGGAUGACGUCAAAUCAUCAUGCCCCUUAUGAUUUGGGCUACACACGUGCUACAAUGGACAAUACAAAGGGCAGCGAAACCGCGAGGUCAAGCAAAUCCCAUAAAGUUGUUCUCAGUUCGGAUUGUAGUCUGCAACUCGACUACAUGAAGCUGGAAUCGCUAGUAAUCGUAGAUCAGCAUGCUACGGUGAAUACGUUCCCGGGUCU